GGGGGUGUAGCUCAGUGGUAGAGCAGAUGCUUAGCAUGCACAAGGUCCUGGGUUCAAUCCCCAGUACAUCCA
rnacentral:tRNA from 1 species